rnacentral:rRNA from 1 species
GAUGAACGCUAGCUACAGGCUUAACACAUGCAAGUCGAGGGGCAGCAUGAGGUCAGCUUGCUGACUUUGAUGGCGACCGGCGCACGGGUGAGUAACGCGUAUCCAACCUGCCCAUAACUAAGGGAUAAUCCGUAGAAAUGCGGUCUAAUACCUUAUGUUGUCCGAGGAAGACAUCUGAUUCGGACGAAAGAUUUAUCGGUUAUGGAUGGGGAUGCGUCUGAUUAGCUUGUUGGCGGGGUAACGGCCCACCAAGGCGACGAUCAGUAGGGGUUCUGAGAGGAAGGUCCCCCACAUUGGAACUGAGACACGGUCCAAACUCCUACGGGAGGCAGCAGUGAGGAAUAUUGGUCAAUGGACGAGAGUCUGAACCAGCCAAGUAGCGUGCAGGAUGACGGCCCUAUGGGUUGUAAACUGCUUUUAUACGGGGAUAAAAGAUGUCACGUGUGACAUUUUGCAGGUACCGUAUGAAUAGGACGGCUAAUUCCGUGCCAGCA